GGACGAACGCUGGCGGCGUGCCUAAUACAUGCAAGUCGAGCGGACCGAACGGAAGCUUGCUUCUGUUCGGUUAGCGGCGGACGGGUGAGUAACACGUGGGUAACCUGCCCGUAAGACCGGGAUAACUCCGGGAAACCGGGGCUAAUACCGGAUAACACCGAAGACCGCAUGGUCUUUGGUUGAAAGGUGGCUUUUGCUACCACUUACGGAUGGGCCCGCGGCGCAUUAGCUAGUUGGUGAGGUAACGGCUCACCAAGGCGACGAUGCGUAGCCGGCCUGAGAGGGUGACCGGCCACACUGGGACUGAGACACGGCCCAGACUCCUACGGGAGGCAGCAGUAGGGAAUCUUCCGCAAUGGACGAAAGUCUGACGGAGCGACGCCGCGUGAGCGAAGAAGGUCUUCGGAUCGUAAAGCUCUGUUGUUAGGGAAGAAGAAGUACCGUUCGAAUAGGGCGGUACGGUGACGGUACCUAACGAGAAAGCCCCGGCUAACUACGUGCCAGCAGCCGCGGUAAUACGUAGGGGGCGAGCGUUGUCCGGAAUUAUUGGGCGUAAAGCGCGCGCAGGCGGUCCCUUAAGUCUGAUGUGAAAGCCCACGGCUCAACCGUGGAGGGUCAUUGGAAACUGGGGGACUUGAGUGCAGAAGAGGAGAGCGGAAUUCCACGUGUAGCGGUGAAAUGCGUAGAGAUGUGGAGGAACACCAGUGGCGAAGGCGGCUCUCUGGUCUGUAACUGACGCUGAGGCGCGAAAGCGUGGGGAGCAACCAGGAUUAGAUACCCUGGUAGUCCACGCCGUAAACGAUGAGUGCUAAGUGUUAGAGGGGUUUUCCCUUUAGUGCUGUAGCUAACGCGUUAAACACUCCGCCUGGGGAGUACGGCCGCAAGGCUUAAACUUAAAGGAAUUGACGGGGGCCCGCACAAGCGGUGGAGCAUGUGGUUUAAUUUCAAACAACGCCAAAAACCUUACCAGGUCUUGACAUUCCCUGACAACCCUUGGAGACAGGGCGUUCCCCCUUUCGGGGGGACAGGGUGACAGGUGGUGCAUGGUUGUCGUCAGCUCGUGUCGUGAGAUGUUGGGUUAAGUCCCGCAACGAGCGCAACCCUCGCCCCUAGUUGCCAGCAUUCAGUUGGGCACUCUAGGGGGACUGCCGGUUAAAAAUCGGAGGAAGGUGGGGAUGACGUCAAAUCAUCAUGCCCCUUAUGACCUGGGCUACACACGUGCUACAAUGGGCGGUACAAAGGGCUGCGAACCCGCGAGGGGGAGCGAAUCCCAAAAAGCCGCUCUCAGUUCGGAUUGCAGGCUGCAACUCGCUUGCAUGAAGCCGGAAUCGCUAGUAAUCGCGGAUCAGCAUGCCGCGGUGAAUACGUUCCCGGGCUUUGUACACACCGCCCGUCACACCACGAGAGCUUGCAACACCCGAAGUCGGUGAGGUAACCCGUAAGGGAGCCAGCCGCCGAAGGUGGGGCAAGUGAUUGGGGUGAAGUCGUAACAA
rnacentral:rRNA from 1 species